UGAUCACUUCAUCCCCGGGGCAUACAUCACCGCCCAGAGACCACAUCGAUGCUCGUUAAAUACAUCCGAUCAGACAGUUGUUCGAUAAAGCGCCACUCGCCAUUCACGCAGAGUAGUCGUAACGCACAGGCCUUACAUUUGAUCAGAUGGUGGCUCGCUACUUGAGGAGUCACAAUGCUUCACUGAAUCUCUAGUAAAUAACAAUGUCUGGCUCUUAAUGUCGUAGCAAGACAUACACGAUGUCCUCAGUAGAGAAUCUUUAGUCAUCUAUCCAUAUACAGCUAGCUGACUGGGUUUCAAUCCACGUGCUGCAAAAUGAACCAAACAACAGCGGCUACCGAACUGCGAUCGGCGUAUUUCUUCAGGGUCCAUAUAGCGAGUCUGGAUUCUGGAUUCUGGAUUUGAAUUAAUAAAAUAUCUCCUCCGGCCUCGGCCGACACCGGGCUCCGACUCACCCAUUUGCCGGUCGGUCAGCAGUCGUAGGGGAGACCGGAGAUUGACCGAUGUCCGCCAAGAGGGCUUGUGCUGAGUCUACUGAUAGCCAGCCGCAAGACCGAGUCAAAAGGGUGAAGUGUCAUGCAGUUGAGAGUGCCCUUGUAUGAGCAGCUACACGCAGAGUGUUAUUAUCACUUUGUCCUACCCAUAUUAUUACACAUUAGUUGGCCAUCGCGUUAUGCAUGGAGUAGUUGAGUAGGCGUUCCAGUAUAUGGCACCGACCUUUUAUCUCGGUAAGCAAAAGGCGAAACUUGGAGUCUGUUCAACAUGUAGAUAAAGACUGCUACAGGAAUCCUCAUACGUUGCCAUUCGGAUUAUUAUUCUGUACUUUGCCCCUCCGUGCUCGUGCCCGCGCUUUUGCUACCUUCAGACCUGGCAAAAACACCAUCUUCUCCUUCUUCUCUUAGCGCCCGAUCCACACCCAUGGCCCCCACGCCAGCGCCUCCGAGAGGAAUAUCGCUUCCCUAGAGAUGUUUCAGUCCGUAUCUCAAGUCGAUAACAUUAAGCCUUCCUGGUUGCUCGUCAUCCUGUCCUGCCACAACUACCAGCCUAUGCACUCGUCUAAUCUUGAUCAAACUGAAUAUCGCGCUAAGGGAAUCCUUUGGCGAACAAGUUACCACACCAGCGAAGUCAACAGCCCGUUGUUUCAGAGCUUGUGCAAUGGUCAAAUCAAGCGAAGUAUAUGCGCCAUUCCGCACCAGAGUCUGAUAAUUGCGUCAGCCAAGUAUGAUAUAAUAAGACCAUGUUGUACUUACAAUGACAUCAACAGUUUCAUACAGAUUGAGUACUUUGCCCUGGUCAUCGACGAUUGGCACAGCACUAAUUCCCUGUUCCGAGAACAUAUGCACCACAUCAAACACUGUCGUUUUCAUUGUGGCAGCAGCUAUCGGCCAAAACUUGUUAGUGUUUGAAGAAUCAGGAUUGGGCGAGACAUAUGUUCCGAUGCCGAGUUCCUGGACAGAAGCAGUAAGGUAUUGCGUAAUGUCUCGGCACUGACUCAAAUUAGCUCCGUCCUGGAAGAAUCGUAGAUGUCUCUCACAUUCAUGGCAAUGAAUUUCAGUACCCUGUACUGCGUUAAAACACUGAUCACAACCUCUCCGUUGGUUUGUGGAUCCUUGUCAAUGAGGGGAAGGCGCCGAGCAUGCGUGCGAAUAAGAUACCGACAGGCGUCAUAUAAUGGGCGGAGAGGAUGUACAUAGAGGAGUGGUGGCGGCGGAACGUGAAGGACCUUUUCAAUGUCUAUGACGAAUUAAUACAGUCAUCUGUCAUUGAAAACGAAAACGGACCUCUGAUACUCUGCAAUCUAAAUUGCUCUACGUCCGCUGUGGCACCUUCCCAACUUGAAGUAUGAUAAUAAUAUUGGAUCAGAUGGAUGACAUCUUGAACCGUAAACAUCCCUUUGGUGGGCUAUUCAGCAUAUUUACUUUUUAAUACGUCAUAGACUCACCGGCAAAUUGAGCUGACGAUGUGUUCCAUAAAGGUGCAGAGACCACCCCUACGAUAAUCCAUCAGUUACGACCGCAAAUUGAGGGGAAACGCAAAUUACUUACCGUACAAUAGCAUCACAUCCAAUGCCUUCUUCACCUUUAGUUGUGUGUCAAGCACUAUCAGCCUAAAGCUGACUGGGAAAACAUCAUAGCUAGAGCGUUCUUUCAGAAAAGCUCGGAGUGCUUCGAGAGCUUCGUCAUGAGUCAGCGGCCUUGGAGGAGCCAUUGGUGGAUGUGUCGCGCGUGAUGGGCGACGGGUGAUAGAAACGGGAGCACGGUCGGAGAAGGCUUGAGAAGCUGUAGAUGACGUCGUGGACGUCGAAAUUUGGGGAUGAUAGGAUUGAGAGGGCCGUUGAUUAGGGCGAAAGGAUGCUGUAGGAGAUGUGGAGGACAUGAUUGCGUGCAGGUAGCGCCGCGUACGCAAUAGGUGCUAUGGCAAUCUUCCGAGCGGUCGGUGAAGCAGGACCGUUGGGGCAGGCAAAUUAAAAGGAUGGUUGAGGAAGGGUACGGCAGAGAAUGGAGCGUGGUGCGUUAUAAAGAAAUAAUCCAUGGAAGAAUAGACAGACAUGCAGAAACAGUCCAAAGUG
rnacentral:sRNA from 1 species